UACAGAGGUCUCAGGCGUUGUUCGGAUUCAUUGGGCGUAAAGGGUGCGUAGGCGGCGCGGUAAGUCGGGUGUGAAAUCUCGGAGCUUAACUCCGAAACUGCAUUCGAUACUGCCGUGCUGGAGGACUGGAGAGGAGACUGGAAUUUACGGUGUAGCGGUGAAAUGCGUAGAUAUCGUAAGGAAGACCAGUGGCGAAGGCGGGUCUCUGGACAGUUCCUGACGCUGAGGCACGAAGGUCAGGGGAGCAAACGGG
rnacentral:rRNA from 1 species